AUUGUUUUUUCAGGCACUUCAUUUGCAUCAAUCUCGAAAAACGGACAAAGGCCAACCUGGGAAAGGUCGAAGAGGACAGGGGCGAUUAUCCAGCAAAAAACUCUCCAAAUUGAAUGCACAUCUCCAUACUAUUGAAGAACCUGAUCGACUUUCAGUGGGACUUCACAUAGAGGUACCAGUUGGAAUACUUUACGAGACAACAUGCAGCCAGGUCAUAAUGGUUAAGUGGGUGUAAAAUGACAAAGUCAUUCACCUAGGACUAAGACUCUUUUGAAAAGGUCCCGUCCGCCCGGCCCUCCUCGAAUCACUAUGCUGCUCCCCGAGUCCCGCCCAGGGGGUGGCAUUGGCCAGAUUGGACCCCGACUCUGUUUCCCCGCUCUCUCCAUGCCACCCGCUUAACCCAUUUCCUGCCACUGGAGCGGCGGGGAGGUC